GUUGAAACACCGGUUCCCGUACGAUCACCGAAGUUAAGCAACGUAGAAUCUGAUCAGUAUCUGGAUGGGUAACCACUUGAGAAUACCAGAUGCUGUAAG
rnacentral:rRNA from 1 species